UCCAGACUCCUACGGGAGGCAGCAGUGGGGAAUAUUGCACAAUGGGGGGAACCCUGAUGCAGCGACGCCGCGUGGGUGAAGGAGCACCUCGGUGCGUAAAGCCCUCUCGGCAGGGAAGAAACAGACGGUACCUGACUAAGAAGCCCCGGCUAACUACGUGCCAGCAGCCGCGGUAAUACGUAGGGGGCAAGCGUUAUCCGGAUUUACUGGGUGUAAAGGGAGCGUAGACGGCGAAGAAAGUCUGAAGUGAAAGCCCGCGGCUCAACCGCGGAAUGGCUUUGGAAACUUUUUUGCUGGAGUACCGGAGAGGUAAGCGGAAUUCCUAGUGUAGCGGUGAAAUGCGUAGAUAUUAGGAGGAACACCAGUGGCGAAGGCGGCCUGCUGGACGAUGACUGACGUUGAGGCUCGAAAGCGUGGGGAGCAAACAGGAUUAGAUACCCUUGUA
rnacentral:rRNA from 1 species